rnacentral:snRNA from 1 species
AUAUUUACCUGGCAGGGGAGAUACCAUGAUGAAGAUAGUGGAUUUCCCAGGGCUAGGCAUAUCCACUGCACUUCCUCAAAUCAUUUCCUCAAAUGCUGGGAACUUGACUGCAUAAUUUGUGGUAUUGGAAGAUUGUAUUUGUACUUUUCCCUG